UAUUAGGCUGGUGCAAAAGUAAUCGCGGUUUUUGUCAUAAAACCAUUACUUUCAAGGCAAAAACCUCCAUUACUUUUGCACCAACCUAAUAU
ensembl:miRNA